rnacentral:rRNA from 1 species
UACGUAGGGUGCGAGCGUUAGUCGGAAUUACUGGGCGUAAAGGGUGCGCAGGCGGUUAUAUAAGACAGAUGUGAAAUCCCCGGGCUCAACCUGGGAACUGCGUUUGUGACUGUAUGACUAGAGUACGGUAGAGAGGGGUGGAAUUCCUGGUGUAGCAGUGAAAUGCGUAGAUAUCAGGAGGAACAUCGAUGGCGAAGGCAGCCCCUUGGACCUGUACUGACGCUCAUGCACGAAAGCGUGGGGAGCAAACAGG